rnacentral:lncRNA from 1 species
CUUUUCCACAGAACCAGUAUGUGGACUCUAUGAACAGUCUGCAGCAAGCUACUUACCACAUUUGUAUCACCUCUUCCCACUGUCUCAGCAGUCCCAUUUCUGUCUCCCUGGUUAUAGAAGAGAAGAGCCAGCUUCAGCUCCUACACAAAGUGGCUGGGACACCUCUUGCACACACCUGCCUACUCACACAGAGUUUCAAGGGGUGGAAAUCUGGAGCAGACACACAGGUCUUUGAAAGGACAUAUGCUUGGGGGACAUGUACUGCAUGUCUUUCUGUUGUGGGAGUGACACGAUGUGUGUGUGUGAUUUUUACAGGGAAACUGAGCAUUUCAAACUUCUCCCAGGCCUUGGGACUGAUGAAUGGCUCUGAGCUCCUCCUCGGGCAUGGCGCAGAGAAGUCGUGGGGAGGCACGCACCCUCUUGUGCCAGCACCCUGCCAUCUAAUGGCCAGGCUUCAGAUUCACAGCUCUCUUCUGGAUUACUAAUCUACAAGGCCUUCAACUAUUGGUUUUGAACAGCUCAUCUUCCAACCUCAUUGCUUGAUCACCCUAGAAUGCUUAAAUACCUUCUGAGCAGGAAACACCUUUAUGUUAAUUAUAUUAAAUGUCUGAGCCGGAGCCUACCAAGCAAUUCUGAAUACAGUAAACUAGGCACAGACUUUGUGAUUGGUAAAAACAAUGUGCUCCUACAUUGCAACCACUACAUGUAAAGAAAAAUCCUCAGAAAAAACAAAAUAAGGUCUCAACUUUGAGGAAGCUGGUUACAACAAAUUAUUUACAUCUCCAGCACUGAUCUGUGGCCACACCUCUGAAAAAGAAAUAAGUUUAUCUCGUCUCUUAGAUUUAACAAACAGUCAGAGUAGAGGUGGAUAAUCCUAAUUCACAUGCACUUCUGCGUGAAAACAAGUUUGAUUUGUCCACCAUAAGCAUUAACUUUCAGCCACACCUACUCUUCUGUUUGGCUCAAGUCUGUAAUUAAUGAAAGCUCCCUCUCCAUGUGACAAGCAAAUUUUUAUAUCAUCCCCCUUAUCUUUGAUUAAAGAUGCCUUCUAUAAAACUGUAAGAUUACUAUGGUAGCGUUUGAAGCUGAUUUAAGGAUAAAAACUUAAGAGAGUGAACACGCUCUUAAUAGCCUGCAGCUACAGCAUCACAUAUUCUUAUGUGUACCUGACCUGGUCUGCACCGAGCAGAAGAAGCCUCCAUGGUGUUCACUGAAGGAAGGAAUUUUCAUUGCAGUAAAUGUCAUGCUUCAGCUCUUUGUCAUCAAGAAAUGAAUUGUUUCAGUACAGCACUCAGUGACAAACCGCAUUGUUCAAGUGUGUGUGAACACCAUCUCAGGGAUUCUGACGCUUUACGGGCUCUCGAGCGUGCAAGCUGCUGAAAGCUUCGAGUUUUAAAAUGUCCACGUGACCAUUUUAAAAACAGGCAAAAACCCAAAAGCUCCACAUACAAAGUUUUCUGGUGCUCCUUUGGAGCCAAAGGUAUU